rnacentral:rRNA from 1 species
AGAGUUUGAUUCUGGCUCAGAACGAACGCUGGCGGCGUGGAUAAGACAUGCAAGUCGAACGAUUAUCAUCGGGUAGCAAUAUUCGGUGGUGAGAGUGGCGCAAGGGUGCGUAACACGUGGGUAAUUUGCCGUAAAGUCUGGAAUAACUUGCUGAAAGGCGAGCUAAUACCGGAUGUGAUUGCUGGAGGGCAUCCUCUGGCACUUAAAGUCGGGGACCGUAAGGCCUGACACUUUUCGAUAAGCCCGCGGCCUAUCAGCUAGUUGGUGAGGUAACGGCUCACCAAGGCUAAGACGGGUAGCUGGUCUGAGAGGACGACCAGCCACACUGGAACUGAGACACGGUCCAGACACCUACGGGUGGCAGCAGUCGAGAAUUUUUCACAAUGGGCGCAAGCCUGAUGGAGCGACGCCGCGUGGGGGAUGAAUGGCUUCGGCCCGUAAACCCCUGUCAUUUGCGAUCAACCGUUGUUGUUUAAGAGAUGACAACCUGAUAGUAGCGAAAGAGGAAGGGACGGCUAACUCUGUGCCAGCAGCCGCGGUAAUACAGAGGUCCCAAGCGUUGUUCGGAUUCACUGGGCGUAAAGGGUGCGUAGGUGGCAGGGUAAGUCGGAUGUGAAAUCUCCGAGCUCAACUCGGAAAUGGCAUUGGAAACUGCUCUGCUCGAGGGUUGGAGGGGGGACUGGAAUACUUGGUGUAGCAGUGAAAUGCGUAGAUAUCAAGUGGAACACCAGUGGCGAAGGCGAGUCCCUGGACAACUCCUGACACUGAGGCACGAAAGCUAGGGGAGCAAACAGGAUUAGAUACCCUGGUAGUCCUAGCCGUAAACGGUGCACGUUUGCUGUAAAAGGAAUCGACCCCUUUUGUGGCGUAGCUAACGCGUUAAACGUGCCGCCUGGGAAGUACGGUCGCAAGAUUAAAACUCAAAGAAAUUGACGGGGGCCUGCACAAGCGGUGGAGUAUGUGGCNUCAAUUCGAUGCAACGC